rnacentral:rRNA from 1 species
AUUGAACGCUGGCGGCAGGCCUAACACAUGCAAGUCGAACGAGAGGCGGACAGGGGAGUAAUGUCUGGGAAACUGCCCGAUGGAGGGGGAUAACUACUGGAAACGGUAGCUAAUACCGCAUACCAUCGGAUGUGCCCAGAGGGGAUUAGCUUUUAGGUGAGGGAACGGCUCACCUAGUCGACGAUCCCUAGCUGGUCUGAGAGGAGGACCAGCCACACUGGAACUGCGGCCCGGUCCAGAGUCCUACGGGAGGCAGCAGUUGGGAAUAUUGCAGAAUGGGCGCUAGCCUGAUACAGCCAUUGCGCGUGUAUGAAGAAGGCCUUCGGGUCGUAAAGUACUUUCAGCGUGGAGGCGUUGCUCGCAGAAGAAGCACCGGCUAACUCCGGGCCAGCCGCCGCGUUAAUGC